AUUGAACGCUGGCGGCAGGCCUAACACAUGCAAGUCGAACGGGUGGCGGACGGGUGAGUACUGUCUGGGAAACUGCCUGAUGGAGGGGGCUAACUACUGGAAACGGUAGCUAAUACCGCAUACCCUCAGAUGUGCCCAGAUGGGAUUAGCUUGUUGGUGGGGUAAAGGCUCACCAAGGCGACGAUCCCUAGCUGGUCUGCGAGGAUGACCAGCCACACUGGAACUGAGACACGGGCCAGACUCCUACGGGAGGCAGCAGUGGGGAAUAUUGCAAAAUGGGCGCAAGCCUGAUGCAGCAAUGCCGGGUGUAUGAAGAAGGCCUUCGGGUUGUAAAGUACGUUAAGCGGGGAGGCGUUACCCGCAGAAGAAGCACCGGCUAACUCCGUGCCAGCAGCCGCGGUAAUAC
rnacentral:rRNA from 1 species